rnacentral:rRNA from 1 species
GAUGAACGCUGGCGGCGUGCCUAAUACAUGCAAGUCGAGCGAACGGACGAGAAGCUUGCUUCUCUGAUGUUAGCGGCGGACGGGUGAGUAACACGUGGAUAACCUACCUAUAAGACUGGGAUAACUUCGGGAAACCGUAGCUAAUACCGGAUAAUAUUUUGAACCGCAUGGUUCAAAAGUGAAAGACGGUCUUUCUGUCACUUAUAGAUGGAUCCGCUCUGCAUUAGCUAGUUGGUAAGGUAACGGCUUACCAAGGCAACGAUGCAUAGCCGACCUGAGAGGGUGAUCGGCCACACUGGAACUGAGACACGGUCCAGACUCCUACGGGAGGCAGCAGUAGGGAAUCUUCCGCAAUGGGCGAAAGCCUGACGGAGCAACGCCGCGUGAGUGAUGAAGGUCUUCGGAUCGUAAAACUCUGUUAUUAGGGAAGAACAUAUGUGUAAGUAACUGUGCACAUCUUGACGGUACCUAAUCAGAAAGCCACGGCUAACUAAGUG